CACGACGGUGCUACACAGCCUCCGACUGCAUGGGGCCUCAGACGUACCCAUCAUCUACGAGUAUGCUCUGGACUUGGCCUGCACUACCAAGAUGUAACCAACAGGGGUCACAUUGUACCUCUUCCACUCCACCUACCUCCUUCCAUCCCUCCGCUGCCUAGCUUCCCAUUGGUUCCCCUCACCUCUUCCCCCUCUGUGAAAGAGAAUGCACCACCACCGUGUGUGCUUUUUAAUUUUUAGGUUGGACCAAGGCAGUUCCCCCGUCACGUUAUGUUUAAUAACUGAAGCCAAAAUACCUCCCCAAAAUAUUUGUCAGACACUUGAGAUGUGUAGUCUAGUCUGCAGUUCUGUUCACCCCAUCAUCCUAUUUAAUCCAUUCCUCCUGGGGCCAGUGUAACCCAAACAGUAGUAUAUCCUGUACCAGUCAAAAGUUUGGAUACACCUACUCAUUCAAAAGGUUUCUCUUACUUUUUCCUAUUUUCUACAUUGUAGAAUAAUAGUGAAGACAUCAAAACUAUGAAAUAACAUAUAUGGAAUCAUGUAGUAACCAAAAAGGUGUUCAAAUCAAAAUAUAUUUUACAUUUGAAUUUCUUCAAAGCAGCCACCCUUUGCCUUGAUGGCACACUCUUGGCAUUCUCUCAACCAGCUUCAUGAGGUAGUCACCUGGAAUGCAUUACAAUUAACAGUUGUGCCUUGUUAAAAGUUACUUUGUGUAAGUUUUCAUUCUUUAUACAUUUGAGCCAAUCAGUUGUGUUAUAAAAAAUAAAAUAAAACCCCUUGAAUGUU